rnacentral:sRNA from 1 species
AGUCACCCUUUGCUCUCUAGAUAUCUAAGGGCCAAGGUGACCGACUGGUCCUGCCUGGCAGAAUCACCCAGGGCUGUGGCAGGAAGGUCUAGGCAGCUCACUAGGCCACAAGGGUACUUUAAGGUCAUCUAGUCAGCCGCCCUUUCCUGGCACCUCCUUAAUCUUGUAUGGCUCUCGUGUGUGUGCAGGGACAAGCCCCGCCUCUGGUGCAAAUGCUUGCGACAUAAGGCUAUGUCCAAGCCCAUCUGAAGGUUCCUUAUCCCCCAGCGCUGUAGUCACAGAAGACACAGAUGCUUCAAAGCUCUUCACAGCUCAGACCUGUCUAGACUUAUCAAGUCAGAGGGACAUGUGGCUCUGCGUCACUAGGUCCUCCACAGAGGACAUUAUUCAUUCAGUGGUGGUAACUCAGAGGUCAGAGUCUCAGACCCAGUCUUGGGCCCUCCCUGAUGAAUCUGCGAGCCCGGACGUCUCCCUGGUCUCAGGGCGUGGCUCUGCAGCUAGUCUCUGGCUUCUGGGUUUUUCCACUCUACCAGGCCUCUUACUGCAGCUCUUGCUUGGGGGUAGGUGUGGCAAUUGGGCAUUGAGGAUUUGCUCUGCCAGGAGGCCACACCCCAGCUAUUAAGGUUGCUGGCCUAGAGGCCACCUCCCCAGGUCCCUUAGCCCCAAGCUGAGCUGGCUCUCCAGCACCCAAGACCCUCCUCCCCUCUUCUUAAAGAGGCUGCUUGUCAAGUGCAGAUGGGCCUGAGCUCUGCCAGCAUCUCCAUGACAACCAGAGCUCACAGCUUCCUUCCUGGAUCAAGUGCUUGCACACUCAUAGGGCUUCCUUGUAGACCCGGAGAUUGGCUGUGGCCCCAAGUCCCAGACUCACACACCUUACCAUCACGUGCUUUCAGUAUUUAAGGGGGCUACUCAACAGGUUGCCCUGAAGACCUCAGACCCUGCAGGACUUGUUUGAGGAAGAUCUGAAAUGAGGAAGUUGUUUGCAGAGACAGGAGCUGACACGAGAACAAAUGGGGCAUGACUCCGGAAAGAGCGCGGGUGCGUGUCACCAAUAUUCGUGUCAUACUUAGGCUCUUCAGUGACUCUGCAGUGACCAAGACAGUAGCAGUAAAGACACCGAGAGAAGCAGGUAUGAGAAACUUCCUUUAUUCUUCUAAACAGGUGAAAAUAAGCAAUUCUUAUAUUUCUCACUUGUAAGAUUUUUAAAUUCUUAAAAAUGCAAUUUUCUUUUCAAAGCACAUGCCAUCUUUAAAAAAUUCUCAGCAAUAUACAUUUGCACCCAAGAAAUACAUGCAGCAUCACUGCCGUCUGACAAUGUCCUGCACUAACCCACCGACUCCUGCACAUGUGCGUUCUACUUGGGGACUCAGAACACAGGCUUCAGUGCAACACUUAUUUCCGUAGGAAACACAGGCCCAGUGGCGUCUUCUGACAACUGUUUCCCAAUGGCUGAGCACAGCCUCCAUCUGCCUUAAAGCACUCUCCCCCGUGCCGAUGAAAGAAACAACUAGAAUUCAGGAGCAUUUGAGGAUCCCAGUGCGGGACCGAGGAGGGAUACUUAGGGCUACCCUGUGCCA